rnacentral:lncRNA from 1 species
GCUUUUCCAUCACUCACGCACAAGCCUUUGAACCAUAUGAUGAUUGACAUCUUCCAAACAAAAAACACAAACCUUUUUGUGUAAUCCUGCUCUUCAGUAAUAUCAUGAUAAUCAAUUCAAAGAAUAUGAUAUGAGAGUGAAUGGUUGCUAGUCUUUUCUUUCUCUCUUCUUUUUCUUUCUCCAUUUACCCAUGAAUUCAAAAUUAAUUCAAGUGAUAUUAAUUCCAACUUGUAUACGUGGAGUAUUGUAUACUUCCAGCAAGUAGUAUGUUUCAUUCCAAUUCACAAAUUCACAAUUUGAAAUUUAAUCUGAUAUAUGAUUGAAAUCUGUUUAAAAUUGAAAUCGAGUGUGUAACCGAAGUGAAUAAUUAGGAUGAUGUCAACAAGAGGGUAACUAGAUACCAACUGAUGGCUUCCAGCACGAGCUCCGGUCGAGUUGUAAUCUAACCUGUCGUAAUGAAUCGCUCCAACUGACCGUUGGCCAGCUACAAAAAACGUCCAAAUUUCAAGUCAGCCUGCCAACUGUCGCUUGAGAACUUGGAUGACUUCUAUUGCUCUUGGGGAUGAUAGGAUGCGUUUCCGAAUUCACAGGUACCGACACAGUCAACCAUUUGAAGAGCGGAAAUGAAAGAAGAUGUAUAUAUUUUGCAGAUUUUGAUUUGUUUUCUCACCGAAGUCUGCUUCAAAUUUAUUGAUCACUCAAAAUCAGAUCAAAGAGACUUGACAGAGAGACAGGAACUGUGAAAGAUGUGGCACGGAAGUGGAGGCUGGGAGACCGAUGAAGAAGUCUUUAUGGUCUACAGAAAUAGUAACUGGAAGGGUUAGAACUUCUUUAUCAUGUUCUCUAUGAGCUGUGAAACACAUAAAAAGUAUUCAAAUUAUGGAUGGGCAUUGACAGCGGCAGACACGUUCACAUUAUUUGUGAUAUUUCAGGUUUUAAAUAGAACACUUUCAACUUUCAACGUAUUGUUCUCGUCACAAUUCAGAGGGAUCUCCUCGGUGACAAAACUUGGUUCAAAAUUUUUGUUUUUAAGCUGCCACAGAUGUUAUUCUUCUUACAAGCUUUAUGAUGUAUACUUUUAAACUUCUUGUUACUUGCGGUUUCCUCAUACUUGAAACGUUUUAAUUAUGUAUUCUAUAAUAUAACAAUAGCAACUCAAUCAUAUCAAAUCAAAAAUCAUUAUUUUUUAAAAUUGUUUUAAGUUUCAUUGAUUUCAAUAUCAAAUAAUGCAAACUCUACUUUAUAUUAUAAUUCGAAAUCAACAUCCAAAUGUGAAGAGAUUUAGAACAUUACUAUUCGAUUGUAUCGAAAUCAUGAAUGUUCAUAUUCAUUUAUUUGGUUAAGAUGCUUCAAUCUCUAUGAUGCAUUUAUUUAUUACUUUAUUUAUACAUUUGAAUUGAAUAGAAUUGAAUUUUUUUCUUUAUUUAUUUAUUAGAACAGUCACAAACACGAUAUUUGGAAAGAGAAACAGGCAAUUGCCCAAAACUUCUUCAAUCCCUUGAUUUUGGUACAUAAAUAGUCCAAAGUGAGGUUAAGUUUAAAAUUUCUGUUUUCACCAAAGAUUAACACUCAGAGAAUACGUAUUCGAGAUAUGACUGAUGAAUUUUGAAUUUCGAAGGGUUGAUAAGAGCCGGAAAUAACACUAAACAAUCCGAAAGUUUCAAUAAUAUUGAAUUAAACUUGAAAAUUUUGAGCAGAAAAA